rnacentral:snoRNA from 1 species
GACCUCGUGAGAGAGGAGAGUGGCCUAUUUUCUGGCAGCUUCAGAAGGAGGAGGGAAAGCAAGCCCAGAAGAGGUGCUCACUCCAUUCCCAGCUGGCUUAGCUGCUGAUGCUUAGAAGACACUCUGUAACAUCA